CCUUCGAUAGCUCAGUUGGUAGGCGGUGGACUGUAGGCUGGUUAACUGAUAUCCAUAGGUCGCUGGUUCAAAUCCGGCUCGAAGGA
rnacentral:tRNA from 1 species